GAGAAACAUCCCCAUCAGUAAGAAUACGGACAUGUGCUUUUUAACAUUGAUACUUAGAUGAUAAAACACAAUAUGAAUUUGAAAAAUACACUAGGAAGAUGUUGAUUAGUCCAAAAUUUUUUGACUAUCGUAGAAAUAUGGUUUAUGAAUAAUUAAUUUCGGAAGUCACUUCAAUAGAUGACAUUGACUUCUUAUUAUUAUUUGGGACACUUGGAAUCGUAAAGUUUAAAGACGAUCUAGCAAUGACAAAUCUAGAAGAAAUUUAUUUGUUCACUGUUUUUCGACCAUUUUACUUAGAUGUUUUAUAUAUGUAAUCUAGGCGUCUAAACAAAGUCAGAUAUUGAUGUGUCAUAUCGAUAUA